AGCGGCCAGCCUGGGUAAAUGAAUGAACGGCACCAAAUCCCACGGUUAGGAGAGCACCAACGUUUCAAGACAAAAAUCACAGGAACCACUGAUGGCGCCCAGUGAAUCGCUUUUAUUUCGGUAUGCAUCCACAUCUCAGCAUUUAGUGGUCCUGAACAGAAAAGUGGAAAAACGCAGCGAUUUGCCAGGAAGUCAAGCCCGCCAAUUUCAGGGAUCUGCUGUGCACACCGAGUUCUUUUUUAAUCCCUGCUGAGGACCGUGAGAAACAGCAGCACCAAAACCGAAGUAUGCACCGAAUUCAAGGUUCUUUUUGUUCCAGUUGCCACAUUCCAAACUAGACCCAAACGGAUUGCAAGAUGACCACAUGAGAACCCUGUGUAAAACUUCUUCAAUUUUUAAAAGCAAAAGCAAUUACAGGAAAAGAAAAUUCAUUCAGAGGGAUCGUGGGUGCUUACAAGUGUCUUCUGUGGCCUUUCUCCAAGUUUAACCACCAGGAACUUUGAGAGCUGGCAGGUGUGAGUACCCCUGGUGACUGUUCUUUUCACUUUAUCAAAACCUGAGCUAAAAAACCGCAUCAGCUGACGAUGACAGCAGAGGGUGGCAGGGCUGAGGACCCAAUAUUCAUUCCCAGGCUGGUGGAGAGUGAGUAAAUGGGGUUCCAAAACUAAACGAGGGAAGUCAGAGACUCUUUCCAACCUUACCUGAUGGCUUCUGGCCAAAGCAAGGAAGUAUUGUGGAAAGUGUUGGGUGGUGAUGGUACAAAAAGGGAUCAGAAGAGCA